CAGGAAGCUAUUCAUUCCAUGAAAAACAAGCAGAAGAAUAAAACUUGGAUUGCUAUUAAAGUUGAUAUGGAGAAAGCUUAUAACCGGAUCAUGUGGAAAGGUGUCCCAACUAAAAAGUUCUGACUUGUUAGAGGCAUUCAGCAAGGGUGUCCGCUUUCUCCACACCUCUUCGUUUUGACCAUAGAAUGGUUAGGACGUGAUAUUAAGUCUGCCAUUACCAUGGGUCAAUAGAAACCUAUCAGGUUUUUUGUAUCUAGAGCCUACCAUUUAUCACCUCUUUUUUUGUAGAUGACCUUAUUAUAUUCGGACAAGCAAAGAUGUAAUAAGCUAGAAUCAUAAAAGGUAUAUUGGAAAGUUUCUGUGGUUAUUCUGGUCACAAA